GUGUCUGUUUGUGAGACACUUAAAGUUUUGCUUAAGGGUGUUAGGGAACCCUGGGUCUUAUAAACAAAAUAUACGUGUGUUUACAAUGUACUUCUGAUACUGGAUACCAUUAACUUAAAGUUACAUGCUGCUAUAGCAAUUCUAAUAAUGUGCUAAGUUGUGUUUCCUUGCCUUUCCUCGUCACUACUUUGCCUUCAGAUAGUUUGUUCUGUCCAGACACAUGUGUGGCAAGUCAUUUUUUGUCUUUGCAUUUCAUUUUUAGUUAGUAACGUCUCUCUUUCUUUUUGCUGUUCUACAGACAGGUCAUUGCUUCAGCUCCAACAUCCAGUUUGUGGUGCUGCAGAACAAACCCCACUUUUUAGUGGAUAUAUUCAAGCGAACCCAAAGGCUCUUUUAAGAGCCAUCCACAUUGCACAGGACAUUUUCUAUUCGACGUCUUAUUCAUUAUUACGUACAAAAACGCUGAAAACGUACAAAAACGCUGAAAACGUACAAAAACGCUGAAAACGUACAAAAACGCUUCUUGUGAUUCUGAAAAACGCUUCUUGUGAUUCUAAAAAAUGCUUCUUGUGAUUCUGAAAACCCCCUUCCUGUGAUUCUGAAAACCCCCUUCCUGUGAACCUGAAAACCCCCUUCCUGUGAACCUGAAAACCCCCUUCCUGUGAACCUGAAAACCCCCUUCCCGUGAACCUGAAAAUCUUCUUCCUGUGAAUCUGAAAAUCUUCUUCCUGUGAGCCUUACUGCCAAACCCAAGUGAACAUUGACACCACUGAACUACAACUACUACAAGAGAAAAGGAGCUCCAAAACAUCUCUUCCAGUACACCUUGCUGCCUGUUGUCUUCAAGAAGGACCACUGAUUCAAGCUCAGCUUUUGAAGCCUACUGUUUAACGUUACAUUAGUUACAUUUUUUGUGGUAGAGUUUAUCAUACAGGUAUAUUUUAUUUAAAUAGAUUUUAUAAGCUAUAUACAAUUAAAUAGUCUUUCUGUUAGUCUUGUUAAAAAAAAUUCUGUACAGUAUACGUUAAAGUACAUUUGGGUGACAUUUUAUUUAUUAUAAACAUUACAUUCGUGUUACUUAUUACAUUAGUCUGAAUUAUUAAAUCUGUGUGAAGUAUUACAUAAGUUUGAGUUAAUACACCUGUGUUAAGUUUUUCAUUAGUCUUGAGUUAUUUAAUCUGUGUUAGUAUUACAUUAGUCUGAGUUAUAACAUCUGUGUAACAUUAGUCUUAGUUGUUACACCUGUUUUUAGUAUUACAUUAGUCUUGAGUAAUUAAAUCUGUGUUAAGUAUUACAUAAGUUUGAGUUACUACAUCUAUGUUAAAUAUUACAUUAGUCUCAGUUAUUUAAUCAUAUUACAUUAGUCUGAGUUAUAACAUCUGUGUUACAUUAGUCUAAGUUGUUACACCCGUUUUAAGUAUUACAUUAGUCUUGAGUUAAUAAUUCAGUGUUAAGUAUUACAUUAGUCUGAGUAAUAACAUCUGUUUUACAUUAAUCUGUGUUAUUAAAUCUGUGUUAAAUAUUACAUUAGUCUCAGUUAUUAAAUCUGUGCUAGUAUUAGAUUUAUAGCAUUCGAGUUUACAGUUACAUAAGUAAUCUUUUCACAUACUUGUGUGUCAUAUAUUUAAGUUCCUUGAGUAAUUGAUUGCAUAAUAGACAUUACCUGUGGCUGUAAGUUCAUAUAUUUCAAAAUUGAUCUGUGUUUAAGCUUUACAUCUGCUCAACCUAA